GACAGAGGUCCCAAGCGUUGUUCGGAUUCACUGGGCGUAAAGGGUGCGUAGGCGGUUGGGUAAGUCCGACGUGAAAUCCCGGGGCUUAACCACGGAAUUGCAUUGGAAACUAUCCAGCUCGAGGGUUGGAGAGGGGACUGGAAUUCUCGGUGUAGCAGUGAAAUGCGUAGAUAUCGAGAAGAACACCGGUGGCGAAGGCGAGUCCCUGGACAACUCCUGACGCUGAGGCUCGAAAGCUAGGGGAGCAAACAGG
rnacentral:rRNA from 1 species